GGCGGUCGGCGGGACGAGCUGUCUCCUUUACGUAAUUUGAAUUUAACUUUUGAGUGAAAAGGCUCAAAUUAUUUAGUGGGACGAUAAGACCCUAUAAAACUUUAUAUAAGUUUAAUUUGGCUUACAAUUUGAGUGAAAAGUAGCUUUAUUAGGCUUAUAUUUCGUUGGGGAGAUGUAGAUAUAAUGUGUAACUGUCUGUUUAAUUUAAUAAUUAUAAUUAGUGUGUGAUCCUUCUUUGUGGAUUAAAAGUAUAAGUUACUUUAGGGAUAACAGCGUGAUUUUCUUUGAGAGUUCUUAUCGACAAGAGUAGUUGCGACCUCGAUGUUGAAUUAAAAUUUCAGUUAGGUGUAGCCGCCUGGCUGGUAGGUCUGUUCGACCUUUAAAAUUUUACAUGAUUUGAGUUCAAACCGGUGUGAGCCAGGUUGGCAUCUAUCUAAUAA
rnacentral:rRNA from 1 species